UAAUGAUGGUGAGGGUAAUUUCUAUGCAUGCCCUUAAAUCUUUCCCAAGCUUGGUAAAGAUUUUCUCCUUCUUUCUGCCUGAAACUCAGAAUCUCACUUCUUAAAUA